rnacentral:rRNA from 1 species
AUUGAACGCUGGCGGCAUGCUUUACACAUGCAAGUCGAACGGCAGCGCGGGCUUCGGCCUGGCGGCGAGUUGCGAACGGGUGAGUAAUACAUCGGAACGUGCCCAGUCGUGGGGGAUAGCUCGGCGAAAGCCGGAUUAAUACCGCAUCCGACCUGAUGGUGAAAGCGGGGGAUCUUCGGACCUCGCGCUAUUUGAGCGGCCGAUGGCAGAUUAGCUAGUUGGUGGGGUAACGGCCUACCAAGGCGACGAUCUGUAGCUGCUCUGAGAGGACGACCAGCCACACUGGGACUGAGACACGGCCCAGACUCCUACGGGAGGCAGCAGUGGGGAAUUUUGGACAAUGGGCGAAAGCCUGAUCCAGCAAUGCCGCGUGUGUGAUGAAGGCCUUCGGGUUGUAAAGCACUUUUGGCGGGAACGAAAAGGACUGUGCCAAUACCACGGUUCGAUGACGGUACCCGAAGAAUAAGCACCGGCUAACUACGUG